AUGGGCUUCUUGAAAAGUCUGCAAGCUUGUCUCUUGCCUUGUGGAGACGGACAGGCAGUGCCAGUGCAAAGCCCGGCGAAUCGGAGGCAGGUGAAGGGCAGCUCAGCCAGAAUGGAGUGCCGGCUGAGCAGUAAUGCCAUCGUGCACUGGUACAAGCAGCUUCCUGGAGAGCCACCCAAGAGGAUACUGUACGUGUCGGGACAGAGUCCUACGUUUGAUGAUGGCUCUGAUGGCCGAAAGUAUCAAGUGUGGAAACAUGCCUCUGAACCUCUCUAUAGUCUCACAAUUGAUUUCUUAACCCAGAGGGACACUGGCACUUACUACUGUGCAUACUGGUAUUAUUAUCAAGGCAUCACAGUGUUAGAUGGCCAAGAUAAACCAUACAAAAAGGCACUUGGCACUCCGAACCGCAAGCUCUGAGCUCUGCCCCAACACAGAUACUUCCUCAUUCAGCCCUGCUGUGAUGAUUUUCUGCCAUAGGAUAGGAAAAACAACAACGUAGUGUGACAACUGCUAAAUAGAGGAUGUUAAUAAUCAGGAUAUUAUUUCCAAACUCACACAUCUCUGUAACAAGCAGAAACUUCAGGGCCCUAUCAAAUGAACCACAGAAUCAGAAUAUCUCGAGCUGAAAGGGACCCAUAAAGAUCAUCGAGUCCAACUCCUGGCACCACACAGGUCUACCCAAAUUUUUAGACCAUGAGACUAAAGGCACAGACAAAUUGCUUCUUAAACUCCAACAUGCUUGCUUGGUGCAGUGACUGCUUCCCUGGGGAGCCUGUUCCAGUGUGUGACCACCCUCUCGGUGAAGAACCUCUUCCUGAUGUCUAGCCUGAACCUCUCCUGCCUCAGCUUGACACCAUUCCCGUGGGUUCUAUCACUGGUGACUAAGGAGAAUAGAUCAGCACCUGUCCAUCUGUUCCCCCUUGUGAGGAAGCUGUAGGCCACAAUGAGGUCUCCCCUCAGCCUCCUCUUUUCCAGGAUGAACAGGCCAAAUGACCUCAGCUGCUCCUCAUAUGUCUUCCCCUCUAGGCCCUUCACAUUUUCAUAGCACUCCUGAGGUGCAAAUGGGAACUUUGCUGUCAAGACGACAGCAAAGAAGGUACAAAGUGAACGCAGUCUGUCUGUGCCUUGUGAACAAACAGCAGCUGAAGGUUUCUAUUGUUUAUUGGAAUCCAUGGAGCAAGCAGACAAAUAUAUCUCCAUCCCCUUGCUGCUCUCUCUUGAAAUCAGUUGCGCAUGUGAAACAAGGAGAGAAGACUGCAUGAUUUGGUAGACUUUCCUUCCCAUUUUCCUACUGUCUUCCUUGGCAUUUCAGUCCCUACAAAGUCCUAAAACAAACCAGAAACUCUACUUUAUCAUCAUAGUUUCUCCCCUGAGGUGUCCAGAAUAGAAGUGAAGUCCUCAGCCAUGGGCUAUGCCUCCAACAAACAGACAGAUGGCAAGGAGAUCAUCAGCAGUACUCAGCAUGGAUUCACCAUGGAGAAGUCAUUCUUGACCAAUCCCAUACACUUCUACAAUUAAAUGUCCAGACUGCUGGAUGAGGGGAGAGAAGUGCAAAUAGCCUGGGGAUUUGAUUAAAGCCCUUGACACUGUCACCACUAAGACCCUAAGAGAAAGGCUGUUGAUGUGAGGGGCUGGAGGAGGAGACAGAAAGUUGGGCUGAGCAGCUGGGCCCCAAGAGUGGUGAUCAGAGGCACAAAGGCCUCUGAAAGGCCUUUAGUAGUGUACUAGCAGUGUACCCCGGGAAUCAGUUCUGGGUCUGGUCCUUUCUAACAUCUUCCUUAAUGCUUUGGAUGACGGGACAGAGUGGUUCCUCAACAUGUUUGUUCACAACACCAGUAUGGGAGGAGUGGAAGAUACACCAUAGGGCCAUGCUGCCAUCCAGAGGCACCUUGUCAGGCUGGAGAAAUGGGCUGACAGCAGCCUCAUGAUGUGUAAGGGGGACAUACAGGGCCCUGCACAUGGCACAUGUUUUCUGCUUUUCCUUCCCGCUCUUUCUUUCCAAGAAGUGCUUGCACCUCAUCUCAGCUUCAAAACCCAAACCCUGCAGCUGUGCAUUUCCUCCCCACGCAAAACCACAGGCAAGGCACCUGCUCCUGGGGAUGCUGCUGUGGUUGCUGCAGGUUGAUCCCCACGAGCUGCUGCAGUGGGGGCAGCACAGGCACAGGGGCAUUUCGGCAGGCCACAGCUGGGUGGCCAGGCUGAGGCAGCAAGACGUGGUCCCUGACGGGGUGGGGACAUGCCAUGCCUCCUGCCACUGCGGGGGACCGCAUACACUCAGCGCCCAUCAGGGUGGCCUCUGGGCUGGGAGCUUCACGCCCUGAUGUACGGCUGCAGCUGCUCUCACUCUCAACCCCUUCUCAGCAGCUCUGCCUCAAGUUUCCACACGCCACGCUCCUUGGACUUACCAGUCUUUCUGAAAAGCUGAUGGGAUGACAACGUCCUCACCAACGUGAGCAUUCCCAGGUCUAAGCCCUUUUCCAGGCUGCAGUGGUUUCUCUGCAAACCUAGCCCCACACGGUUGUGCCCAGAAGAGCCAUCGCUGGAGACGUCUUCUCCCCUACCUCAACCCUGUCCCCAUCUGGGGCCCCUUUCCCUAUCCUCUGAGUCUCAGCUGAGCGGGACCAGCAAACAUGCUGCUGCUGGCAGCACUUGUAGCCACUGCCGCUUGGUCUGGUAAGUGCUUUCUACUUCAUCUACAUUUUCCUCACAGGCAAACAUGGUUGUACUAACAGGUAUUUUCCCCAGUCACUAAUUACCACUGAAUAUCACUGACUUAAUAACUAAAUUAAUUUCUCGUUUUCUCUUUUUUUUUUUUUUGUUUUGUUUUGUGUUUUUUUUUUAAUUUUUUCCUAGAUGGACUUGCACAGGAAAUUCCCAUACAGACCCCUGUAUCCAUCACCAAAUCUCAAGGCAGUACACGUGUGCUUUGUCAUUUUAAGCGUGUCUCUGCAAAUUUUGAUAACACCAUCAUUCACUGGUACCAACAGAAAGGGAAUAAAGCCCUAGAGUGGAUGUUCUACAUUACAACAAGGACAACAACAGCAGAUAAGAGCUUCCAAGGCCGCACGUAUACAAUUGAAACGGUUUCUAAACAGAAAAUGUGUACUCUCAUAAUAAAAAGUAUAGUUCCAGAUGACACAGCUACCUACUACUGUGCCUACUGGGACUCUCACUAUGACAGAAACCCAGUGAUCACCUCGACCAAAACUCCCUUGGUGGCUCAACCACAAGCGAUUUGAAAGAUCCCAACUCACUUCCCCCGGCGUGGAUGAGCCACCCGGCCUCAACACAGCACAGCCGGGACUGGCUCAGCGCUGAGCCACUCCUUGGAGGGGGCAGCUGCCAAAAGCUGGGGAUUUCAACGCAGCAAGUGGCACAUGCAAAGGGAACGGUGAAAGGCGAAUGCCUAACCCAGCCUCAGCACCUCCUCUUCCCCUCGUUUUACUCAAGCAGGGAACUGGUUGUAAGGAUUUCUUUACUGGAUAGGGGAAAUCUUCCGUGCCGCUGUUCCUGGAAUGUUGUCCUCAGCAUGUUGUUCUGGAGAUUUUCAAAGCCCGUCGCUUGACACAGAAAACUGAAAGAAAAUUUUCCCUUGAAAGCUUGAGUGCUUUCAAAAUCCCACUGAGAUGAGGGGGAAGACUCCCUCUGACUUGGAGUGAGAAAGUCCCAAAAAUCUGGGGGCAUAAAUUGGGAGACUUAUUUGAUAGGGUUGGUAAAAUUACGUGUUGAGUAAGCAACUGGUUUGUACUUCAAGAAAGGAAUGUGGCAGCAUCAGCAUUAGGAAACUGUCAUUAUAAAGCCUAUUCUUGAGACAUUCUUAAUGGGGAAGCAGUGGAGAUGGAGUCAAGCUGGGCAGAGGGCUGCUCAUCAGCACGUAUUCAGAUCUUGGUAUUGAAUGUGUAAUCACGAGAUUCGGGCUUGCCUGAUAAAUGCCAGACAAUAGAAAAAUUCGUAGGCCCAUGUACAGCAUCAGAUUUGGGAAUCAUACAAUGCUUGAUGAGAAAAUUAGAUACUAAAUAAGCACAAGACAUAGAAAGAUGUUUAUAAAUAUAAAGAGGAAACUAAAAAUAGGAAUGUGAGUGUAUUGCUACCGAUGUCCAGAAGAUGUCAUGACUAGAAAGCAUUUCUGUUUAAGCUAGUGAGCUAGACACAUAUCCCAGGUGCUCAGUUCUAGUGUGGCACCAAGACCGUGGGAGGUGGCUAAGUGCAAAGACAGCUGCCCCUGAUGGGUAGAGAGAAACGCCACUUUCUCAGGGAUGUGGGAAAUGGCAGGGGUAGGGCCAGGGACCAGAAGGCUUAUUUGAGGGCUGGGCAUGCUUUUGCUGCAUAUUUCUGACUUUUAAAUUACUGCAGCUUUCAGUAACAGUUUGAAAGC
ensembl:lncRNA